AUGAAUCAUAUAUUAAAAUCUAGUUGCGUGAAACAUAUGAACACUUGUAUGCUUCCUGAAGUUUGUGGAACGCAAUUUAGUGUUGCCUUGAGAUUAGUUUGUGUUGUAUCGUUUUAUUUGCGAGCAAAUGUUAUGGUUUGAAAAUACUCUAUUCGGCAGACAUGGAUGUGAUUGCCUAAUCUCUACUGGAUAUCUUGAGUUGAUUCGUGGCAAUUAGAUUUUACCAUUUUAAAAUAAUCACAGUUGUACUACAUUACUACUGCAUUAUGGAGGAAACAAGAAGCAUGCCCUUUAGACACUGCUAGCCACAGCUCUUAGAUGAAUAGUUAAUAAUACUUUUAAUUGUGGGGGAUUUGUUCUGCAUUUACUUGUUUGCUUUGUCACUCUGUUUUGCGGCAUUUAAUCAUUUAAUCAUCUAUUAUGUUUCAUCGGAAAAAAAUAAUAAUAAUAAUAAUCAUCUACUACGCUAGAAUACCAUUUUGGCUUUUUUGGCUGUCCGCGUUUUAAAUCUGUUUUAGUUUCUUCUCCAAUUCGUAGUACAUGCCCCAGCUUGUGGUUUGUCGUGUGAUGGAUAUUUCUUUAGAAAUUCUAUAAAUUUUAUAGCGAUUGCUAAUCUUGCUUAAUAAUGUCGUCUGAAAAUAUUUUUAUUCGGAAUGAAAUAAGAUUAUUCCAAAACGUGAUAAUUAUUUUAACGAGAGGGGUGGGUAUUUUGCAUUUGUGAA
rnacentral:lncRNA from 1 species